rnacentral:rRNA from 1 species
GACGAACGCUGGCGGCGUGCUUAACACAUGCAAGUCGAACGGAAAGGCCAUGCUUUUGUGGCGUGCUCGUGUGGCGAACGGGGGAGUAACACGUGUGUAUCCUGUCCUUGUCUUUGGGAUAACUCCAGGAAACUGGGGCUAAUACCGGAUAGAAGCUCCUGCUGCACGGGGGGGGUUGGAAAGUUUCGGCGGUUGGGGCUGGAUUCGCGGGUUAUCCGCUUGUUGGUGGGGUAGUGGCUUACCAAGCCUUUGACGGGUAGCCGGCCUGAGAGGGUGACCGGCCACAUGAGGACUGCGGUACGGCCCAGUCUCCUACGUGCGGCAGCAGUGGGGAGUAUUGCACAGUAGGCGGAAGCCUGAUGUAGCAACGCCGCGUGCGGAAUACCGUCCUUCGGGUUGUAAACCGCUUUGGCCUGUGCCGAAGCGUGAGUGACGGUAAUGGAUAAAGAAGCACCGGCUAACUACGUG